UCCCCUGCAAUGAUGAUGAAAUAGUAGGCAUAUGUGUGAUCUUCUUAAAGAAUCCACAACGGUUAUCAGAUUAAAGCUGUGACCCAUCCCCAGCUCAGAUGAGUUCAUGAAAUCCUGAUUUAAGAUUUUAAAAUAAUGAAGAUUGUUAGUUGACUUGUUCGGUUUAUUAAAAUCCUCAUCUUACUGAGCGGGGGG